GACGAACGCUGGCGGCGUGCCUAAUACAUGCAAGUAGAACGCUGAAGAGAGGAGCUUGCUCUUCUUGGAUGAGUUGCGAACGGGUGAGUAACGCGUAGGUAACCUGCCUUGUAGCGGGGGAUAACUAUUGGAAACGAUAGCUAAUACCGCAUAACAAUGGAUGACACAUGUCAUUUAUUUGAAAGGGGCAAUUGCUCCACUACAAGAUGGACCUGCGUUGUAUUAGCUAGUAGGUGAGGUAACGGCUCACCUAGGCGACGAUACAUAGCCGACCUGAGAGGGUGAUCGGCCACACUGGGACUGAGACACGGCCCAGACUCUUACGGGAGGCAGCAGUAGGGAAUCUUCGGCAAUGGGGGCAACCCUGACCGAGCAACGCCGCGUGAGUGAAGAAGGUUUUCGGAUCGUAAAGCUCUGUUGUAAGUCAAGAACGAGUGUGAGAGUGGAAAGUUCACACUGUGACGGUAGCUUACCAGAAAGGGACGGCUAACUACGUGCCAGCAGCCGCGGUAAUACGUAGGUCCCGAGCGUUGUCCGGAUUUAUUGGGCGUAAAGCGAGCGCAGGCGGUUUGAUAAGUCUGAAGUUAAAGGCUGUGGCUCAACCAUAGUUCGCUUUGGAAACUGUCAAACUUGAGUGCAGAAGGGGAGAGUGGAAUUCCAUGUGUAGCGGUGAAAUGCGUAGAUAUAUGGAGGAACACCGGCGGCGAAAGCGGCUCUCUGGUCUGUAACUGACGCUGAGGCUCGAAAGCGUGGGGAGCGAACAGG
rnacentral:rRNA from 1 species